CGGAACCACUCGGAUGACUCGGUU
rnacentral:miRNA from 1 species